GUCUGGGAAACUGCCUGAUGGAGGGGGAUAACUACUGGAAACGGUGGCUAAUACCGCAUAACGUCGCAAGACCAAAGAGGGGGACCUUCGGGCCUCUUGCCAUCAGAUGUGCCCAGAUGGGAUUAGCUUGUUGGUGAGGUAACGGCUCACCAAGGCGACGAUCCCUAGCUGGUCUGAGAGGAUGACCAGCCACACUGGAACUGAGACACGGUCCAGACUCCUACGGGAGGCAGCAGUGGGGAAUAUUGCACAAUGGGCGCAAGCCUGAUGCAGCCAUGCCGCGUGUAUGAAGAAGGCCUUCGGGUUGUAAAGUACUUUCAGCGGGGAGGAAGGUGUUGUGGUUAAUAACCGCAGCAAUUGACGUUACCCGCAGAAGAAGCACCGGCUAACUCCGUGCCAGCAGCCGCGGUAAUACGGAGGGUGCAAGCGUUAAUCGGAAUUACUGGGCGUAAAGCGCACGCAGGCGGUCUGUCAAGUCGGAUGUGAAAUCCCCGGGCUCAACCUGGGAACUGCAUUCGAAACUGGCAGGCUUGAGUCUUGUAGAGGGGGGUAGAAUUCCAGGUGUAGCGGUGAAAUGCGUAGAGAUCUGGAGGAAUACCGGUGGCGAAGGCGGCCCCCUGGACAAAGACUGACGCUCAGGUGCGAAAGCGUGGGGAGCAAACAGGAUUAGAUACCCUGGUAGUCCACGCCGUAAACGAUGUCUACUUGGAGGUUGUGCCCUUGAGGCGUGGCUUCCGGAGCUAACGCGUUAAGUAGACCGCCUGGGGAGUACGGCCGCAAGGUUAAAACUCAAAUGAAUUGACGGGGGCCCGCACAAGCGGUGGAGCAUGUGGUUUAAUUCGAUGCAACGCGAAGAACCUUACCUGGUCUUGACAUCCACAGAACUUUCCAGAGAUGGAUUGGUGCCUUCGGGAACUGUGAGACAGGUGCUGCAUGGCUGUCGUCAGCUCGUGUUGUGAAAUGUUGGGUUAAGUCCCGCAACGAGCGCAACCCUUAUCCUUUGUUGCCAGCGGUCCGGCCGGGAACUCAAAGGAGACUGCCAGUGAUAAACUGGAGGAAGGUGGGGAUGACGUCAAGUCAUCAUGGCCCUUACGACCAGGGCUACACACGUGCUACAAUGGCGCAUACAAAGAGAAGCGACCUCGCGAGAGCAAGCGGACCUCAUAAAGUGCGUCGUAGUCCGGAUUGGAGUCUGCAACUCGACUCCAUGAAGUCGGAAUCGCUAGUAAUCGUGGAUCAGAAUGCCACGGUGAAUACGUUCCCGGGCCUUGUACACACCGCCCGUCACACCAUGGGAGUGGGUUGCAAAAGAAGUAGGUAGCUUAACCUUCGGGAGGGCGCUUACCACUUUGUGAUUCAUGACUGGGGUGAAGUCGUAACAAGGUAACCGUAGGGGAACCUGCGGUUGGAUCACCUCCUUACCUUAAAGAAGC
rnacentral:rRNA from 1 species